GAAUCUACUCAGAAAAAUAGACUAGAGUUUCAUACUUCAAAUUCCCUUAUUUUUCUUGGAAAUGAAGGAGAAACUGUACAUCUUUCAAAUAACAUUUAUGUACAUAUUCGAUUAAUAAUCAUAUAGAGCUGAGAAAUAAUUUACUAAAAUAUUUUUUGUUUUCAUCUAUUAUGGAAGCACUCUUGCUGCUACGAUGAAGUUGAUGAUACACAAUUCCUCCCUAGCCCGUCCACUUUAAUAAGAAUUACCUAUCAAUCAGCUAAAAGAGAGGGAUUGAGCGAACAUCAUAGGGGAUUGUAGGUUAAGCAGUUAUUUAUUGAUAGAAACUAACAUGCGGAUGAAUCUUGCCAUUUUUGGAAUAAUUGAGGGAUGUUUUCUGUUCAUUACAAUAACAUAAGGAUGUGCUUUAAGUUUAGGGUAUAUUGAAGGAUGUUUUUGGCAACAAACUCGGUUUAGUCAUGUGAUUGUUUCAGGCCAGCAUGAUAAUUAUAUAUCUGAUUGGUGUAAGGUUCUAAAUUGUCACUGCUCUCUGUUUCUCUAGUGUCUUGUGCUGUUAUAUUCAUCCACACGCUUAUGUUCUUACCACUACCAGAGGCGGCUUUAUUUAGAGGGACGGUGUAAGCCUAAUCUAAUAAUGUUAUUUGAUGCUCUGGUAUGUGUUAUAUUAUUUGUGCAGUCUACUUCUAUAUUUUCUUUUGUUUGUUAUAACACCAAUAAAAGGGGUCUGUAUAUUAGUAUCUGCUAUAGAAGGGUUGAGCCAUAACAAAUGAGAAGCUAUCCAACUUCUGUAAUGAUGUUAGAGAUGUUGAUCUCCAGUUCCGAGGUUGUUGUUUUUUUGUGCUACUGCUACCAUUGUAAGUCUUUCUGGCUUCUAGAAAAAAGAGGUUGUCUGAUCUCUAAUAUGUGAUGCUUUGGUCACCUUUGUUCUUUUCAUUUGGUGGUGUUCUCCCGCAUUGCAGAUGUUAGAAUCUUUGGACUCUUUUUACCUCAAUAAGUAAAGCCGAUUCUCUCUCCUCUUGCACUUAAGGUAUCCUUUUCUUUCGAUAUUUAGCAAUCACGAAUUUGAACAGAUGUCCCUGGCAAUGUUAAGUAAAGCUAAUUUCUCUCUGCUCUUUCGCUUGACGUAUCUAGUUAUUACUUUCCAUAUUUAGCAACACAAAAUGCAAGAAUUCUCUGCUCUUUUAGGGAUGUGGCUUUUACGUACUGUUAAGUUUUAAGGUUUAUAGUGUUCAAUCCGCAUCUUCUUUGUAUUCUGGCUAGGUCUGAGAUGCUCCGUUUGAAUGCAUAUGAUGACACACAGUUCCUUAUAGGAUACGGGUUCUUAUCCUCCUUUAUUCCUUGCUUUUGUCUACGUGAAAAAGGUGUUAGAUUUUUGUUUGCACACAGCUUGCUUAGGUCUUCUGUUUACAGAUUAGCAGUCUUAUGUGCUUUGGCAUCUUUUUUAGAUUCACGUUCUUUUGUGUGUUUGUCAUCAGUUUUCCAAGUUGUUGCUUUAUAAAUAGAGUUGGUGUCUGGAGCUGCUUUCUUCAUUUUGUUUCAGGUGUUGUGUGAUGCCAUCUUUCCUAGUUGAUCAAUAUUGAUGUUGCUUUUCUUUGUUCUGUGUUUGUCUAUUAUUUUUCAGGUUUUGAUCUUGUGCGGUGUGGUGUGUGGACGGUAAUCUUGGUUGUUAUGUUGUUAGAAUUGGACUUUGAUGAUAUAGAUGCUAGUACUUGCACUGGGUACAAGUUCUUGGAAUGUUCCUUCCAUGGAGAAAAUCAGUUUUGCAUGUUUCUUUAUUGCUUUCAUUACUAGUUGUCCGAGUCUGUAUGUCCCUGAUUUUGUUAUGAGGGAAUUAUUUCCUUUGAUCUGAGAGUUAUUAGGUACUCCUACUGUCUUUUAUGUUUGUCCUUGGAUUAUUGCUGGAGCUGUAUUUUUUUUUGUUUUUGUUUUGUUGCUCAGUAGUCAUUGUUUUGGCAUAGUUGGUGCAUUGUUUUUGUGUGGAACCCUUGUAACUCCGCCUGUCAAGUCACAGCCGGUCCCAAGCCCGGAAAAGGAGGAGGGCAAGCAUCAAUUGUUUGGAGGUCCUGCUUUUCCUGCAUGGCUUGUAGGCCUCAAAUCUACCAGUUCUAAGCCUUGAAAAAAGAGGUGGAAGUGUGUUCAAGGGAUAUUGCUUCUCCUGCGCACUUAAAGUUGUUGGUGUGUUUUUACUGCGAGCUCUCGGGACGGUGUCCUUCAUUCUCAACAAGGUUCUUAUCCAGGUGUGGUCAGUGGUCUGUGUGGUUAUGAAUGCAUGAGUGAGCGACUCAGAUUUCGCAUGCAGUUGCUCUUACCUGUUCUGUUUUGUGCCAGAUUUCUUGCUAUAAUAGAACCUUUUAGAGAGUCCAGAGGGUCAAUAUUCCCCAAGACAGAUGUAUUUUGAAGGUCCACCAGAUCAUUUUUGUAGGUGCGACUGUGUGUGAAAAUAAUUGUUUGGUUGCUACAAGUUACACUGGUGAUAUUCUUAGCGAUAACAGAACAAGACUGAUUAGCGUAUCUUUUGGUGUUUGUGUCUGCGAAAAUUUAGUAUGUCUACUCAUAUUAGUGUCCUUUGGCCUGUUUUUUCCCUGCAAAUUGAAGUUUCCUUGAUACUACUUGUAACAUGAAGGUUCUCAACUGGCUCUACUCUCUGUUUCUCUAGUG